GACGAACGCUGGCGGCGUGCUUAACACAUGCAAGUCGAACGAAGUGGCGAACGGGUGAGUAAUCCGUGGGUAACCUGCCCUCCUUUUUGGGAUAAGCCUUGGAAACGGGGUCUAAUACCGAAUCUAGGGGGAUGGGCUCGCGGCCUAUCCUCUUGGUGGUGGGGUGAUGGCCUACCAAGGCGUUGACGGGUAGCCGGCCUGAGAGGGUGACCGGCCACAUUGGGACUGAGAUACGGCCGAGGCUAGUACGGGAGGUAGCAGUGGGGGAUAUUGCCGAAUGGUCGAAAGCCUGAUGCAGCGACUGCGCGGGGGGGAUGAAGUAUUUCGGGUUGUGAACCUCGGUCGCUAUGGAACGGGUAGGUGGAGAAGAAGCGCCGGCUAACUACGUGCCAGCAGCCGCGGUAAUAC
rnacentral:rRNA from 1 species